AGGGUUGGCCAACAUAGACAUGGCAGCACCUCCCUCGAAGGCUUCCAUGGAGGCGUCGUCACCAAUAAGCAUGAAGGGCAGGUCGAGGAUACUUCCAGAGUGGCAGCAAUCCAUCACGACAGUGAGAUGAACGUCUGCGGGGAGAGGGGCAAUGAGCGCCUUGAAGAUGUC
rnacentral:snRNA from 13 species